UACAGAGGGUGCAAGCGUUAAUCGGAAUUACUGGGCGUAAAGCGUGCGUAGACGGUUAUGCAAGUCGGAUGUGAAAGCCCCGGGCUCAACCUGGGAAUGGCAUUCGAAACUGCAUAGCUAGGGUGCGGAAGAGGGAAGCGGAAUUUCGGGUGUAGCGGUGAAAUGCGUAGAUAUCCGGAGGAAUACCAGUGGCGAAGGCGGCACGCUGGGCCAUAACUGACGCUAAGACGCGAAAGCAUGGGUAGCGAACGGG
rnacentral:rRNA from 1 species